UACGAAGGGGGCUAGCGUUGCUCGGAAUUACUGGGCGUAAAGCGCGCGCAGGCGGUCUUCCAAGUCAGUGGUGAAAGCCUGGAGCUCAACUCCAGAACUGCCAUUGAAAACUGUUAGACUUGAGUACGAGAGAGGUGAGUGGAAUUCCCAGUGUAGAGGUGAAAUUCGUAGAUAUUGGGAAGAACACCAGUGGCGAAGGCGGCUCACUGGCUCGUAACUGACGCUCAGGCGCGACAGCGUGGGGAUCAAACAGG
rnacentral:rRNA from 1 species